ACAACUAGAAGGAAGCGAAACAGUACAGCAGCACAGGUCUGGCUUCUCCGCUCUUUUUUGCCAUAAAUAAUGCCAUCCGUGUCCUAAAACUUUCGCUACAUGUUUUAAACUUGUAGGAGCUCUUACCACCACCACUGCCGCUGGAUAUAGACCGCUGCUAGCGAUAUUAACGGGGGAUUUGGCACACUCUGCCCCCUCUGUCCACAGACUACCUACAGCCUGGCUUUGAGCAGCUGUUUGGAGAUGUACCAGGGGUCUGUGACCGAACUCAGAUGCACCUGGCUGUCAGUAUAGAGCUGUGAGCCACAAGAGGGCGCCAGAAACACAAACAUAAGGAAGGAAGGAAGUAUCGAGCACUUGAUUAAGCCCGACGUGGAACACUUCUCAGACGUUCUGUUUGGACGUGUAGACGUCAUCAUGAGCACCCCAGACUCUGAGUUCAACCUCUGUUCCCUGGACUCACUAGCUUCAGGCACCCAGGCCAGUUCGAGUGGACCAGGACACAGUUCCAGUCCUGGUGAGAGACAUCAUAAUCAGGACUGUCACAAUAACAAAUCUUAAAGUCUGAUGUAUUGUCAAAGAAAACGCUUAAGACUAUUGAAGCUGUUAAGGCUUUCUAUAGCAUAAAUCUUUAUUUGUAUUAUUAUGGAUCAUUUGACCUAACCUUCAUAAUACCAUCUGUUAUGUAUGUUAUGUUGUUAUGUCUUUUCUGUGCGUCUAGCGGCCUCCAGCCACUUUUAUUAGACUAAACUGGCAAGAUUGUUUUGGUGGUAUAAAUAUUCUGUAUUGUUUACAUUUGUCAGCUGAGGGCGAGACAAUAUUAUACAUUUUGAAUAAACAAAAAGCAGAAUGAAACUCAUUAGUGUGUCGAUAAUGAGUAUUUUCACGAUGCUAAAAUUUCAAACUUGAUUUCGAAGGAUAGACUCAAUGCCCAAUACUGAGUCCGAUACAUCACAAUAAUAAAAACAGACAGUAACUCAGUUGGUAGAGUAUUUGUCCACUGAUCUGAAGGUUGGCGGUUCGUAUCCCACUCAAUGUAAACAUCAUUGGUUGAGCGAUCAGAUCCACUGACCCACAGGUUGGCGGUGCAAUACACUGGUGUAUGAAUGUGUGUAUGAAAGGGUUGGCUGGCUCCAUGAAGUAAAGUGCUUUGAGUGUCUUGAAGGUGGAAAAGUGCCAUAUAAAAAUGUGACCAUGAUCUUCAGCUGUGCCAGAAUAAGUGUAUCAAGUAUAAGACCACAUAUGGUCUGUGGAACCUGCCUGGACCACUGAGGGAUUACACAGAUAUACGGCUGGGGCUAUAAAAGAAAGUAUUGUUUUUUUAUUAGCAUGAUAUCAGAAUGGAGUCUGUUCCUUAGAAUCAAAAUCAAGUUUGCAAGUUUAGUAUUGUGAACACUAUGACUCCAUAUUUCCACUAAUGUUAUGAUGAAUACAAUACAAUAAGAACUUUUAUUGCACGUUUCUUAAGUCUGUUAAAAUUGAACAUUGUGCAGUGGCAACAAAUACAUGAGGUCUGAAAAAUCUCACUGUCCUCCAAUAAGAAUAUGUUUGGUAUGAAAAAAUACAACCUCAUAAACACAAACGGCUGAGUUCACAGUCAGUAACAAAGCGCACCAAAUCAUAAAUGUAUUCUGUUAUUAUAGGAUAUAUUUGAACAUAGAAAGUCGUCUCAUUGUGAAGAGGCUCAGACUAGAAAUGUGUCUACAAAAAUACAGAUUAUUGUUACGAUAAAUGUUAUAUCAACUUAUGGUUCAGUAUAUGAAACCUGGAUCAAUAUUUUUACAUUUCUGGGGAUUUUUUUUUUUUGUGGCUAUAUGAUAAAAUUUGAGCUUUAAAAGGCAGAAUUAAUGACGUCUAUGGCUCAUUACAGAUGCAAUCUAACGACUGAAGUGUUUCAUUCUGCUGUUUAUUGCAGCUCAUGAUUUUUAACAAUAUUGUAGAUUUGGAAUAGUUUUUGUGGUUUAAAUCUGCUCUUGGGUGUUUGUGUCAGUGGAGUAAAUUUGUUUCAGUAUUAUUGUUUAUCUUCUAUAUUUGCUUCAGCGAUAUGUUAUCGUGACAGGCCUACAUGACAGUUACGCUUUAAAAAGUGAGUUGUGUGCAGUUUUUGGACGCUUGUCCAAUAAUAGAGCUGCAAGUUUAAUGGCAAUGGAAUUGAAAUCAUAAUUUAAAAGACUGUAGCUGAACACAAAGGCUGCAGUUCAGUAUCAGCAUUUCCUCCACAAACAACAAAGUUUCUUACCCCAUAAAAAAACUGCUAGUUUAAACCUGUAGUUUAUGUAAGAACAAACGUGUUCUGAAAUGCAGUGGUGUACAGAUUUUAAAGUGGAUACAUUUUAUUUUUACUUCACUGCAUCUGAGAGCAGUAUCUGUAUUUUCUACUCCACUACAUUUUUGAACUGGACUGAAAAGUAAAAGUAUUUUUGUUAGUUUGAGACCUGCUGAAAAGUCUGAGGGUUUAUUUUUAAGAAGUUCAUAAUUUGAUCAAAACAAAAAUAUACAAAUGAAAACUGGGAAAAAAUGGAAUGUAACAAAAGGAAUUGUUUUUGUCGAACAAAAUCCAGCACAUAUCUGUAUCAAAUCAUUACACUUGAAGCUUCAUAAAACCUCAAUCUGCACAAAAUACUUUUACUUUUUACUCUACAAUGGGUACUUUAAUACUUAUGUGGAUUUUAAGUGAUACUUGAGUAUUUUUUUCUCCAGUAUUUGUCCUUUUACUUAACUUUAAUUCAGUUUAUAUUUCAGUCUUUUUGUCAGUUCUUUUGUGUUUAAAUUAGUGGUUUAUGUUUUUAUAAUAGAAUUCUGUUAAAAGUUCACAUUUUAAUUUCAAUUGUCAGAAAUCCCAAUAAGAUACUUUUCCCAAAUGUUCAGCCUUACUCUGUUACUUUUCCGGUCCGUCAUCUUUUAUUUUUAUUUUUAUUUUUUUUCCCAAAUGUUUUUAUUAGGAACAUCAAUAAAGAAAACAAAUUACAUUGG